rnacentral:piRNA from 1 species
UCCAGGGAUAGCAUUUCUGUGGCCACCUC